rnacentral:lncRNA from 1 species
UAAAUUACAGAAAACCCCCCUGUAAUAACCCGCUUUUUCACUUUCCCCCCCUGACAUUUAAAAACCUACACUUUGCCCCCUUGUAAAAUGAAAAAUGUUCACAGGGGGGUCACGGUGUGUAAAAUGACCAUUUUGCCCCUCGCCAUUGUUGUCUUCUUCCUGAGCUUCCUCAGCCGCCGCUUCGAUCCGCCGCUAUUUCCAUCUCAAUCGGCCACGAUUCCUCUCCAAUUUCUUCUCCACCUGCUCCCCUUCUCCUCCUACAUCGUCGCCGCCCAUCGAUUUCGGCGACAGUAGGGAGGAUACUAAGAUGGGUGUUGAUGGAGAGGUAGGCAGGGACAACGAGGGCGAAGGCGAGGUGGCGGAGGAGGACGAAAGGGAUGUGGGCGAGGGCGAAGCAGUGGAGGACGGCGAGGCGGCGAGGCGGCGAAGCGGCGAGGCGGCGAGGCGGCGAAGCGGCGAGCCGGAGGGAGCGAAGCAUCCGAGAAGAGGCAGAGGGGUAUUUUCGGUAUAAAAAAAUAUUUUUUAACAGAACCCCUAACGGUAGGGGUGAAGUGCACAUUUUUCAUUUUAUAAGGGGCAAAGUGUAGGUUUUUAAAUGUCAGGAGGGGAAAGUGAAAAAGCGGGUUAUUAUAGGGGGGUUUUCUGUAAUUUAGCCUAAUAAUUAAUC